rnacentral:rRNA from 1 species
UACGAAUGGGGCUAGCGUUGCUCGGAAUCACUGGGCGUAAAGCGCAUGUAGGCGGCUUCUUAAGUCAGGGGUGAAAUCCUGGAGCUCAACUCCAGAACUGCCCUUGAUACUGAGGAGCUCGAGUCCGGAAGAGGUGAGUGGAACUGCGAGUGUAGAGGUGAAAUUCGUAGAUAUUCGCAAGAACACCAGUGGCGAAGGCGGCUCACUGGUCCGGUACUGACGCUGAGGUGCGAAAGCGUGGGGAGCAAACGGG